AUUGAACGCUGGCGGCAUGCCUUACACAUGCAAGUCGAACGGUAACAGGUCUUCGGAUGCUGACGAGUGGCGAACGGGUGAGUAAUACAUCGGAACGUGCCCGAUCGUGGGGGAUAACGCAGCGAAAGCUGUGCUAAUACCGCAUACGAUCUACGGAUGAAAGCGGGGGAUCGCAAGACCUCGCGCGGACGGAGCGGCCGAUGGCAGAUUAGGUAGUUGGUGGGAUAAAAGCUUACCAAGCCGACGAUCUGUAGCUGGUCUGAGAGGACGACCAGCCACACUGGGACUGAGACACGGCCCAGACUCCUACGGGAGGCAGCAGUGGGGAAUUUUGGACAAUGGGCGCAAGCCUGAUCCAGCCAUGCCGCGUGCAGGAUGAAGGCCUUGGUUGUAAACGUAGCUUUUGUUACGGUAACGAAAAAGGAACUCUCUCUAAUAC
rnacentral:rRNA from 1 species